ensembl:lncRNA
GUCGCAAUACAAUGUGUGUCAAAUCAUCAAUCUGAACAAUGUCUUCAGUUCAUCUCAAACUGAAAGUAGAGAGGAAAUGAUCCAAUGUUGACCGUGAGCCAGUUAUUAAAUUAUGAAAUGAUUCUCUGUUCUACAUUAAGGUCCUAUUUGAAAAAAGCAGGUCUCAUUAUUAGUUGCAGUUAAUCGUACUAUAUAUUUUUCUGCCUCUAGAUUAUUGUUACAGAUGGUCAUAAUAAUACAGUAUAAACUGUAACAAAUAAUCAUGUUUUGUGUGUGUGUGUGAAAAACAUUUGUUUAGAAAAAGAUUUGUUUAGAAAAAGAUUUGUUUAGAAAAAGAUUUUACAUGGACCUUUGGCAGAUAAUAAUAGCUUUAUUAAGAGCUGCUGUAGCCUCAACAUUUCAUACGCCUUUUGGAAAGGAAUUAAAUAGUAGAAAUCAUCAUAGUUUCUGCUUUUUCAAGUUUGGGUUUUUCCCUUUAAAGUAAAUGUGAAAAAGUUGGCAUUAUUCAUGUUCACGCAGGCAUAAUCUCACUGAAAACCACCUGAAAGCUCAUGAGGUGAGAAUGACAGAGUGAGAAACUGUAGUACAAGAGUGCUGCGAGCGGUCGUGUUCAUGCAGGUCUAGUUUUACUAAAAACUUGCUGAUCCAGUUCCAGAGAGACAAACACACCUCUUAAGAUCAGCUUCAGGCAUUUCAGGUUUGCUCUUGGUGCUUUAAGCGAAGCAGACAGUCCCUCAUAAAAUCAUCAUGUGGUCAAGAUAAAACUGCUGAUGAAAGACUGAAAUGUGCUUUAAAAAAAGAUGCCCGAAAAACCCAAAGGAGAGAUCAGCAGAGGAAGUUAAAGCUGGAGGUCAUGUGACACUGUGAUAUUUGUGGAACUCAGUAACUUGAUAAGAUGAUUUAAAAUGUCAAAUAUGGACAUGAAGCUGCAGGGGAGCAUUUUCUUUAAAUGCUCUUUUUAAUCAAUAGGCUAGCUGUGCAAGUUGUGCAAGUCAGACUGUCUCAACCCAGCCACAGCUUCACCUCUUCUAGGUCAGAUGUACGGUGUAUUCUGACAUUUCUGCCACAUCUGACCCACAAAGCACUCAUUUUAGACCCACCUCGUCACUUUUGUCACUUUUAGCUCACACAUUUCCAGAGCUAUGUGGGCCAGGUUUGGCCCACAUGUGCCUGCUGCCUGGCACAUGUGGCCAAACCUGGUUUGUAUGGUUAGUCACUCUGUGACUCAGAAGGAUAAAACAGAAAUGUCGCUGUGGGAAAAAUCACUUUUAAAAAAGUUCUAAUUGAACGUCAGUAAUUUCAUUGGAAAAUACAAAUAGUAAAAUCCGUUUUCAAUGUGGAGUAUUCAAAAGUGACACGUUUGUCUCUAUAUCUCUCUAUAUGGGUCUGUCCCUGAGAGACAGCAGAGAUGACAAAAUGGGGGCAAACACACACACACACACACACACACACACACACACACACACACACACACACACAGUGUUUGUGGUUAAAACUGUUGCCCUGUAGUUUUGAGCUUUGAAUUUUCAAUCAGGAAGUUGCUUCAUGCACCAGACAAAGAGCUAAUUUCUCACAGACUUUAGGCUUUAAACAGCUACAAGAGUUAAGCAAAAUUUUUUUACAUUUUAACUCAUAAUUCAUUAAACUGGGUUAGAGAGACACAGUUUUACUAUGUUUCACUGUUAUGUAGUAUUAGUCACUAUACAAGUUUAGCCUUCCCACAUGACAUGUCAACAUUUUUUUGCUUCUCUAAAGGAAAUAUUUUAUUCAUCUCAAACAAAGUGAAACCCACAUAAUGGAGAGAGGGCCACAGAUUCAGAGAGCCUUUUGUUUAGGCUGACUUACAUAAAAAGUCCAGGGUGUCACAUUUCCUCCUUCAAACAUGUCACACUCUGUGGCAAAUCCCACGCUGUGUGGCC